CGCCGGGGGGGGGGGAGGGCGGCGAGCCCGCUGCGGCUCUGCUCUCCCCGGGUGAGCACCGCCCCCCUCCAGGUGCUGCCCCAAGCACAUGCUUGGUAGGCUGGUGCCUGGAGCCGGCCCUGCCUCCAGUAAUAAAGUUCAGAAACCUCAACUGUAAUUCUAAUAUUAAAAAAAUAAGUAAUGUGUAUUUUAAUAAACCUGCAAAUAUUUCUUCCCAAAACACCAUCCCUUUGGGAGGCAGGGAUGCACGGUUUCUUUCAAAGAAGUCAUUAUUUUAUCUCCAUUCAACAGCUAGUGGGGUGUGCUCUACAAACAUACGUCAACAAAACAAGCAUACUGUACCUCCGUAUCUGAUCUUAACCAGGUCAAGGUUCCAGAUUCCUCAUGUCACUUCUUAGCUACUCUGAAUGGCUGCUCUGCCUCUGUACCGUCAAGCACGUGUAACACGGAUAACAUUUUGAAAUUUCUAAAAUGUUUUUUAAAUACCACUAAAUAGCUUGCAUGGUGACUGAAAGUUUAAAAUCAUAUUUCCCCUCCAUUUUUCACAGGACUGUUAGUUGUCAACACUGAUUUUGCUGCUGCAAAAUAUGGUUCAGAUGUAUCUUUGUAUCUUUCCCGUUUUGAGUAACAUAUGCUUAGUUUAUCGACACAAGUUUUUAAUAUUGUCAGUGCUGCAAAGCCAACAAUGCCACAGAAGAGCAAGCUCAAUUCUGCUCUCCUUGGAACAGUAUCAACAACAUUGUCAGUUACAUUUCCAGUACCAGAAGACUUAUUGCUGAUGAAGUUACAUGAGGAAUGGUGAACACUGCUUAAUUUUUUCAUGUAUUGGGCUGAAUCUGCAGUGUUGGCAGUUAAAAGCCUACAAUUUUAGUAAAUGAAUGAAUCACAUUUCAUUAAGGGGGCAGUAAUAAAAGAUUAAUAGGAAACAGUCAAGAUGUAACACUUAAAUUCAGUUUUUUCACUAUUACUACAAUGAAGAUUGCCUUGGCAAACAGUUUUGUCUGGCAGGAGUUCCAAGUUAUACAACUGUAAACUUAAAAUUUAGACAUUUUAUAUGCAGUUUUAUGCUUAUGUUUUAGAAAAUGUUUAUGAUUUAACCAACUAUUAAACAAUAUGAUUAUUUUCACUAAUAAACACACACAGAUUAAAUAUGUAACAAAAUGUUUUUUAAUCUCUAGAUAUGUUUCAACAAUGAGAAUACCGUCCUGUGACAGUACUUACACAAAAGGGACAGAUGUAAGAGGUACUGGAAAUUAAGUUUAUGAAUGCUGGGAAUCUCCAUUCACACAAGACAUUUUCUCUCCAGCAUGUGUGCUGCUACUACUACUACGAAGGCUAAUGAUACUACAGUGUACAGUAUUGCUACUUACAUCUUUGUGUACUACAUAAUUUAUCUGUUAACUCUUUCAAAUACUGGAACCCGACCAAGUUCCAUUGCCAUUUACAACCUCCACGGAGAAAAGUGAAAGAUAUUGACAAUGGUUUUAAUGUAAAAUUUAACUAAGAAGUCAUUCAGAAAUCCUGUUUGGUUAUGCAAUGCAGCCAAAUACAAAUUCAGUUCUUCAUCAGCAAGCUCCAACUAUUUCCAGUGAGAAGCAGUAGUUUAGUUACAAAUGUAAUGUUAGAAAAAUGCAAAAUCCUAUUUUGAACAAGGUUCAUAAACAGUCAGAUUCACUAUUUUGAUCAGCAAGUAACCCAUUCAUAUGAUGAAUCCAAAUUCUACAUACUCCUUUAUGAAACACUUUUUUGAACAUAUACAUGUUGCUUUCUGCAUUCUUUAUGCUAUACCCUUCAUAUGUACUUAUGACUCUGCUGUGCUCCUCUGACAUAUUUAUGGAAGAUGUUUGUGAAAUUUCACAAACAAGAGGGGAAAACAUAUGUACACAAACAAAACCAAUUUUAAGAUGAAUCCUCCUCUGGAAUCCCACUACAACAACCAAACAAAACAUAAAAAAAUUGAUGUAAUGAGUAAAAUGAAGGUAGUAGUAACUGCAGGAUACCACAUGCUCUCCCAGUGCCCACAUGCUCAAAUGGACUGUUCAACUCUCACCUUUAUCACGGUCAUAUAGCAAAUCUUCUGUUGAGCAAGGACUCCCAUCCUGAGAUUCCGGAGGGCAAAAGGGAGACACACAUGGUGAGUGGCUGCUGCAGCUGCUGCUGCGCUCUUGGACAGAGGGAGUCUGUGUAUCAAUGCUACGCGUGCUACUGCUACGAUAAUGAGCAGGCAAGGGUGCUCUUCGACCAUCAGGAAUAUCCAAAGGCUGCAACAGAAACAACGCUUAGAUUACAUAACAAGGGCCGAUUCUAAAAGCCUUCAGCCUGCAAAGCUCCCAUUGAAGACUCGGGUCUAGACUACAAAGAUCUGUUCUAAACCAAGCAUGUUAUUUAAAAAGGAAAGAAUGAUAAAAUACACAUUAACUCUUUUGCUCCAGGACAACUGCAACUAUAUUUCUUAUACAAGUUUCAGGACUAGAUGCAUUUCAGUUUAUCUCAGUGUGCUAAGAUUUAUUCUGUUUAAAUAAAUACUACGGUAUUUUUAAAAGUAACAAUACAAAAUGUUAAAUAACUGCUUAGCUUCUCAAUUUUGUUUAACAGAGAUAACUACACUAGUGCAAUUUCCAAUAAGUUACUAUUGUUACAAAAG